rnacentral:rRNA from 1 species
GUGGUUUAAUUCGUUGCUACACGAAGAACCUUACCUGGGUUUGACAUAUAGGUUCGUAGGGAACUGAAAGGGACCGACCCUUCGGGGAGCCUAGUACAGGUGUUGCGAUGGCUGUCGUCAGCUCGUGUCGUGAGAUGUUCGGUUAAGUCCGCUAACGAGCGCAACCCUCGUCGUAUGUUAUAUGUGUCAUACGAGACUGCCGGUAAAAGCCGGAGGAAGGUGAGGAUGAUGUCAAGUCAGCAUGACCUUUAUAUCCAGGGCUACACACACGCUACAAUGGUCUGUACAAUGGGUAGCCAAGCCGCGAGGCGGAGCCAAUCCUGAAAGCAGGCCUCAGUUCAGAUUGCAGUCUGCAACUCGACUGCAUGAAGCCGGAGUUGCUAGUAACCGCAGGUCAGCAAUACUGCGGUGAAUACGUUCCCGGGUCUU